GCACAAGCGGUGGAGCAUGUGGUUUAAUUCGACGCAACGCGAAGAACCUUACCAGCCCUUGACAUCCCGGUCGCGGAUUCCAGAGACGGAAUCCUUCAGUUCGGCUGGACCGGAGACAGGUGCUGCAUGGCUGUCGUCAGCUCGUGUCGUGAGAUGUUGGGUUAAGUCCCGCAACGAGCGCAACCCCCGUCCUUAGUUGCUACCACUUAGUUGAGCACUCUAAGGAGACUGCCGGUGAUAAGCCGCGAGGAAGGUGGGGAUGACGUCAAGUCCUCAUGGCCCUUACGGGCUGGGCUACACACGUGCUACAAUGGCGGUGACAAUGGGACGCUAAGGGGCAACCCUUCGCAAAUCUCAAAAAGCCGUCUCAGUUCGGAUUGGGCUCUGCAACUCGAGCCCAUGAAGUUGGAAUCGCUAGUAAUCGUGGAUCAGCAUGCCACGGUGAAUACGUUCCCGGGCUAUC
rnacentral:rRNA from 1 species